AAGGAAGAGAGAAAGCAGAGAGAGAAGAAGAAGAAGCCGCAGCCACGCAUCCCUGCUUCCUCUGCUUGCGGCCAGCCCACCGCCGCCCCUGCUCUCUGGCAGGCCGUGCCCUCCCUUGCUGCCUCCUUUCCACCGCCGACGCUGCUUCCCAGCCGAUCGACCAAUGCCGCCGCUGCCCCCCAGUCGGCGACCUCUCCUCCUCGCUUUCCCGUCUCGCUCGAGCGAGAAGGAUCACUGGCGCCGUCUCCUUGCCAACGGACCACCCCUUCGUCGUUGAGACUCUCGG
rnacentral:lncRNA from 1 species